UAACGCGAAGAACCUUACCAAGGCUUGACAUACACCGGAAAGCAUUAGAGAUAGUGCCCCCCUUGUGGUCGGUGUACAGGUGGUGCAUGGCUGUCGUCAGCUCGUGUCGUGAGAUGUUGGGUUAAGUCCCGCAACGAGCGCAACCCUUGUUCUGUGUUGCCAGCAUGCCCUUCGGGGUGAUGGGGACUCACAGGAGACUGCCGGGGUCAACUCGGAGGAAGGUGGGGACGACGUCAAGUCAUCAUGCCCCUUAUGUCUUGGGCUGCACACGUGCUACAAUGGCAGGUACAAUGAGCUGCGAAGCCGUGAGGCGGAGCGAAUCUCAAAAAGCCUGUCUCAGUUCGGAUUGGGGUCUGCAACUCGACCCCAUGAAGUCGGAGUUGCUAGUAAUCGCAGAUCAGCAUUGCUGCGGUGAAUACGUUCCCGGGUCUUGUACACACCGA
rnacentral:rRNA from 1 species